rnacentral:SRP_RNA from 1 species
ACCGAGCUCGGUUGCGUGUGCUUGUAACCCAAGUGGGGGCAUUAAGGUGGUGUGGAUGUUUGGUGCGGACUCUGGGCUUGGGCCUGUGGUGUGUCUUUGCUGGCCCUGCCCGUUCCAAGUUGGUAGUGGUCUGUGCGGCCCCAGCAAAAGCUCGGGCUUCACUGGACCUGAAGUGGCAGGAAUAGUGUGAGGUUGGCUUUACAGAGUAGCGAUCACUGCCCGCUUCCAACGGUGGAAGGAUAACAGCCCGCUACAUCAUGGGCCCGAUCUGGACCCCGAGGAGCCGGCGGCGAGGAUCG